rnacentral:rRNA from 1 species
GAUAAACGCUGGCGGCGUGCUUAACACAUGCAAGUCGAACGAAGAGUUGCUUUCGUUAGUAACUUAGUGUCGGAGGGGGGAGGAACGCGUGGGUAACCUGCCCUGAACUGUGGGACAACGGCUACAAACGGCAGCCAAUGCCGCAUAAGCCCUUAGUACUGCAUGGUGCAGAUGGAAAAGGAGCAAUCCGUUACAGGUUGGACCUACAUCGGAUUACCCAGUUGGCAGGGUAACGUACUACAAAAGCGACGAUCAGUAGCCGGUCAGAGAGGAUGUACGGACACAUUGGGACUGAGACACGGCCGAGACUCCUACGGGAGGCAGCAGUGGGGAAUAUUGCACAAUGGAGGAAACUAUGAUGCAGCGACGACGCGUGAGUGAAGAAGUAUUUCGGUAUGUAAAGCGUAAUCAGCAGGAAAGAAAAUGACGGUACCUGACUAAGAAGCCCCGGCUAAAUACGUG